rnacentral:rRNA from 1 species
GAUGAACGCUGGCGGCGUGCCUAAUACAUGCAAGUCGAGCGAAAGGACGAGUAGCUUGCUUUUCUGAUGUUAGCGGCGGACGGGUGAGUAACAUGUGGAUAACCUACCUAUAAGACUGGGAUAACUUCGGGAAACCGGAACUAAUAACGGAUAAUAUUUUCAACCGCAUGGUUCAAAAGUGACAGACGGUCUUGCUGUAAUUUAUAGAUGGAUCCGCGCUGCAUUAGCUAGUUGGUAAGGUAACGGCUUACCAAGGCGGCGCUGCAUAGCCGACCUGAUAGGGGGAACGGCCACUGUGAGACUGAGACGCGAUCUAGGGUCCGAGAGAAGGCAGCAGUUGGGAAGCGAGGGAGAUGGGCGAAAUCUUGACGAAGCGACGGCGGGUGGGUGCUGAAAGGCUGCGGGUCGUAUGACUCUGUUAUUAUUGAAGAACGUAUUUAUAAGGAGCGGUGCACGUGUUGACGGUACCUAAACAGAAAGCCACGGCUAACUACGUG